UACGAAGGGGGCUAGCGUUGCUCGGAAUCACUGGGCGUAAAGGGUGCGUAGGCGGGUCUUUAAGUCAGGGGUGAAAUCCUGGAGCUCAACUCCAGAACUGCCUUUGAUACUGAAGAUCUUGAGUUCGGGAGAGGUGAGUGGAACUGCGAGUGUAGAGGUGAAAUUCGUAGAUAUUCGCAAGAACACCAGUGGCGAAGGCGGCUCACUGGCCCGAUACUGACGCUAAGGCGCGAAAGCGUGGGGAGCAAACAGG
rnacentral:rRNA from 1 species